GACGAACGCUGGCGGCGUGCCUAAUACAUGCAAGUCGAGCGAGCGGAACUAACAGAUUUACUUCGGUAAUGACGUUAGGAAAGCGAGCGGCGGAUGGGUGAGUAACACGUGGGGAACCUGCCCCAUAGUCUGGGAUACCACUUGGAAACAGGUGCUAAUACCGGAUAAGAAAGCAGAUCGCAUGAUCAGCUUUUAAAAGGCGGCGUAAGCUGUCGCUAUGGGAUGGCCCCGCGGUGCAUUAGCUAGUUGGUAAGGUAAAGGCUUACCAAGGCGAUGAUGAAUAGCCGAGUUGAGAGGCUGAUCGGCCACAUUGGGACUGAGACACGGCCCAAACUCCUACGGGAGGCAGCAGUAGGGAAUCUUCCACAAUGGACGCAAGUCUGAUGGAGCAACGCCGCGUGAGUGAAGAAGGUUUUCGGAUCGUAAAGCUCUGUUGUUGGUGAAGAAGGAUAGAGGUAGUAACUGGCCUUUAUUUGACGGUAAUCAACCAGAAAGUCACGGCUAACUACGUGCCAGCCGCCGCGGUAA
rnacentral:rRNA from 1 species